rnacentral:rRNA from 1 species
GACGAACGCUGGCGGCGUGCUUAACACAUGCAAGUCGAACGAUGAACCCGGAGCUUGCUCUGGGGGAUUAGUGGCGAACGGGUGAGUAACACGUGAGUAACCUGCCCUGGACUCUGGGAUAAGCGUUGGAAACGACGUCUAAUACCGGAUAGGACCUUGGAUCGCAUGAUCUGGGGUGGAAAGUUUUUUCGGUCUGGGAUGGACUCGCGGCCUAUCAGCUUGUUGGUGAGGUAAUGGCUCACCAAGGCGUCGACGGGUAGCCGGCCUGAGAGGGUGACCGGCCACACUGGGAAUGAGACACGGCCCAGACUCCUACGGGAGGCAGCAGUGGGGAAUAUUGCACAAUGGGCGAAAGCCUGAUGCAGCAACGCCGCGGGAGGGAUGACGGCCUUCGGGUUGUAAACCGCUUUUAGUAGGGAAGAAGGGCUUCGGCUUGACGGUACCUGCAGAAAAAAGACCGGCUAACUACGU